AGAGUUUGAUCCUGGCUCAGGAUAAACGCUAGCGGCAGGCCUAACACAUGCAAGUCGAGGGGUAACAGGGGAGCUUGCUUCCGCUGACGACCGGCGCACGGGUGAGUAACGCGUAUACAAUCUGCCCCUUACAGGAGAAUAGCCAGAAGAAAUUCUGAUUAAUGCUCCAUAGUCUUUAAUAGUGGCAUCAUUAUAAAAGUAAACCUUUCGGGGGGUAAAGGAUGAGUAUGCGUAACAUUAGAUAGUUGGUGAGGUAACGGCUCACCAAGUCCACGAUGUUUAUGGGGUCUUAAAGGAUGGUCCCACACACUGGUACUGAGACACGGACCAGACUCCUACGGGAGGCAGCAGUGAGGAAUAUUGGUCAAUGGACGCAAGUCUGAACCAGCCAUGCCGCGUGCAGGAAUACGGCUCUAGUAGUUGUAAACUGCUUUUAUACGGGAAGAAUGCUUUACUUAUGUAGAGAGAGACUGUACCGUACGAAUAAGGAUCGGCUAACUCCGUGCCAGCAGCCGCGGUAAUACGGAGGAUCCAAGCGUUAUCCGGAUUUAUUAGGUUUAAAGGGUACGUAGGCGGGGAAUUAAGUCAGUGGUGAAAUCUUGCAGCUUAACUGUAACACUGCCAUUGAUACUGGUUCUCUUGAGUAUAGGCGAAGUGGGCGGAAUAUAACAUGUAGCGGUGAAAUGCUUAGAUAUGUUAUAGAACACCGAUUGCGAAGGCAGCUCACUAGACUAUUACUGACGCUGAUGUACGAAAGCGUGGGUAGCGAACAGGAUUAGAUACCCUGGUAGUCCACGCCGUAAACGAUGAUUACUGGUUGUGUGCGAUACACUGUAUGCGACUGAGCGAAAGCAUUAAGUAAUCCACCUGGGGAGUACGUUCGCAAGAAUGAAACUCAAAGGAAUUGACGGGGGCCCGCACAAGCGGAGGAACAUGUGGUUUAAUUCGAUGAUACGCGAGGAACCUUACCUGGGCUCAAACGCAAGCGCUCGACCAAGAGAUUGGUUUUUCUAGCAAUAGACGCGAAGCGAGGUGCUGCAUGGCUGUCGUCAGCUCGUGCCGUGAGGUGUCGGGUUAAGCCAUAACGAGCGCAACCCCUAUCAUUAGUUACCAGCGGAUCAAGCCGGGGACUCUAAUGAGACUGCCACCGUAAGGUGAGAGGAAGGUGGGGAUGACGUCAAGUCAGCACGGCCCUUACGUCCAGGGCUACACACGUGUUACAAUGGCCGGUACAAAGGGCAGCUACCUAGUGAUAGGAUGCUAAUCUCUAAAGCCGGUCUCAGUUCGGAUCGAAGUCUGUAACUCGACUUCGUGAAGUUGGAUUCGCUAGUAAUCGUAUAUCAGCAAUGAUACGGUGAAUACGUUCCCGGGCCUUGUACACACCGCCCGUCAAGCCAUGGAAGCCGGGGGUACCUGAAGUCUGUAACCGCAAGGAGCGGCCUAGGGUAAAACUGGUAACUGGGGCUAAGUCGUAACAAGGUA
rnacentral:rRNA from 1 species